AAAAAAUUAAUUGUCUUCCUUGUAAUCAAAGAGGGCAAAAGAGAUUGCCUUUCUAGAUUCCAAUCAAGGAGAGCGAAAGAAGAAGGUGCCUUCCUUGAAAUAAUCAAAGAGGCGAAAAAAGUUUUCCUCUCUGAUUUCAGUCAAGGAGGGUGAAAAAUAUUGCCCUAUUUGAUUGAAAUUAAAGAGGGCGAAAAAUAUUGCCCUAUUUGACUGAAAUCAAAGAGGGCGAAAAAAAUUAGUUUGCCCUGCUAAGCUAAUACAUCAAGCCUUAUUUGAUCUUAUAUGUUGUAGUGAAGAGUACAAACCCGAAACCCGACACUACACGGCUACACUACAUUUACACUAUAGAAGAAAAUUAUGCUAAGUCUAAACUAUGAACAAAACAAAGAACUAACUAAAGAACCUAAAUAAAACCUGUAACUAAAACAAAUUAAAGAACACUGAAGAGAACUAAGAAAAACAAACAUAUAAAGUAUAUAAUUACAAUAUACUGCGUAUUACAAUAAUUACAAAGACCAAAAAUGAAUUUGAGCUGCAUCUUCAACCAGCACAAGCUACAAGAAGAGAGAGCUCAUAGAUUGAUCUCGCAACUAACGAUUUCUGGCUAAGGACAGACCAAUUCCAUGCCGGCAACAUAGGAAUACCGGCAAGGGCAAAACGGACAAAGAUGACGGCUGGGCUCUAACCGACAUCUUCAGAUUUGGUGGUGUCGAGGACGUUUCUGAUGUCUGGGGACAAAAAUCUAAGCCAAGCAGAGACUGAAUUUCAGAUAAACAGAAAAAGGGAAGCAAAGGUGAUUCUAGGAGAUGGAAGACUGAAGAAGAUCUACGAGGGCGGCUGACAGCCCCGGUCCUGACAUUUUGAGAGCCCUAGGCGAAAUAAUGGAUUAGGGCCCUUUCGAAAUGAUACGUCUUUAACUGAAAUAAUAUCAUUUUUUUUGUUAAAUCCAUUAUAUUGUUGAAUUCAAAUUAAUAAAAUAUUAUUAUAUAUCA